AUUGAACGCUGGCGGCAGGCCUAACACAUGCAAGUCGAGCGGAAGAAGGGAGCUUGCUCCUGGAUUCAGCGGCGGACGGGUGAGUAAUGCCGAGGAAUCUGCCUGGUAGUUGGGGAUAAGGUCCGGAAACGGGCGCUAAUACCGCAUACGUCCUGAUGUAGAAAGUGGGGGAUCUUCGGACCUCACGCUAUCAGAUGAGCCUAGGACGGAUUAGCGAGUUGGUGGGGUAAAGGCCUACCAAGGCGACGAUCCGUAACUGGUCUGAGAGGAUGAUCAGCCACACUGGAACUGAGACACGGUCCAGACUCCUACGGGAGGCAGCAGUGGGGAAUAUUGGACAAUGGGCGAAAGCCUGAUCCAGCCAUGCCGCGUGUGUGAAGAAGGUCUUCGGAUUGUAAAGCACUUUAAGUUGGGAGGAAGGGCAGUAAGUUAAUACCUUGCUGUUUUGACGUUACCAACAGAAUAAGCACCGGCUAACUUCGUG
rnacentral:rRNA from 1 species